rnacentral:RNase_P_RNA from 1 species
AGAGCAGGCCGGGUAAUCGCUGUUUAUAACAACAGAGGAAAGUCCGGGCUCCGUAGAAUAUGAUGCCGGGUAACUCCCGGGCAUUUCAUUGUAAUGAUGAAAUGACAGACAGUGCCACAGAAAAAAUACCGUCGGAUCGUCCAAUCGAUGAUUGGCUGAUCGGAUAAGGGUGAAAAGGCGGGGUAAGAGCCCACCGCCGGGGUGGCGACAUCCCGGGCAGGGUAAACCUCAUCAGGAGCAAAACCAAGUAUGCGGCGGGUUAUUCGCCCUUGAGCCGCGGGUAGGUUGCAGGGAAUUCGAUUCGGCAACGAAUCGGCGAAAGAUAGAUGAUUACCCUCGACAGAACCCGGCUUACAGGCCUGCUCUUUUU